rnacentral:lncRNA from 1 species
AUAAUGAAAUAUGAAUAAUAUAAAAUUUCAUUAACUUUGAAAAUAUAUUUUAAUCAUAUAUUGUUUCAUAUUGUAUUUCUAAGACAAAAUAUAAAGUGUGCAUGAUAAAUUCUGUUAUAACUUAAGGCAUACAUGUAACUUCAUUGCGAAUUUUUCAGGGUGCUCAAGUACCCCGAAUAGUGAUCUCUUUAAAAUUCGUAAAUAAUUUAUUGUAAGUUAGAUUGUAAAGUUUUGUUAAGUAACGAACAUUUGAAGUUUUUUUUUAUAGCAAAUCGGGG